rnacentral:rRNA from 1 species
UACAGGGGGGGCAAGCGUUGUUCGGAAUUACUGGGCGUAAAGGGCGCGUAGGCGGCCCGCUAAGUCGAACGUGAAAUCCCCGGGCUCAACCCGGGAACUGCGUCCGAUACUGGUGGGCUUGAAUCCGGGAGAGGGAUGCGGAAUUCCAGGUGUAGCGGUGAAAUGCGUAGAGAUCGGGAGGAACACCAGUGGCGAAGGCGAUCAUCUGGGGCUGUUCUGACGCUGAGGAGCGAAAGCUAGGGGAGCAAACGGG